ACAGUCACACAUUAGAUACCCGCGUAGUCCCAGCCGUAAACUAUGCGCGUUAGGUGUAUCGGUGACCACGAGUUACCGAGGUGCCGAAGGGAAACCGUGAAACGUGCCGCCUGGGAAGUACGGUCGCAAGGCUGAAACUUAAAGGAAUUGGCGGGGAGCACCACAACAGGUGGAGCCUGCGGUUUAAUUGGACUCAACGCCGGGAAGCUCACCGGAUAGGACAGCAGAAUGAUUGCCGGGCUGAAGACCCUGCAUGACUAGCUG
rnacentral:rRNA from 1 species